UAGGGAAUAUUGCACAAUGGGCGAAAGCCUGAUGCAGCAACGCCGCGUGCGCGAUGAAGGCCUUCGGGUUGUAAAGCGCUUUUCGGGGGGAUGAGGAAGGACAGUACCCCCGGAAUAAGUCUCGGCUAACUACGUGCCAGCAGCCGCGGUAACACGUAGGAGACUAGCGUUAUCCGGAUUUACUGGGCGUAAAGCGCGUGUAGGCGGUUUGGUAAGUCGGGCGUGAAAUCUCCUGGCUCAACUGGGAGGGGCCGUCCGAAACUACCAGACUGGAGGGCAGAAGAGGGAGGUGGAAUUCCGGGUGUAGUGGUGAAAUGCGUAGAUAUCCGGAGGAACACCAGUGGCGAAGGUGGCUUUCUGGACUGCUCCUGACGCUGAGAUUCGAAAGCCAGGGGAGCAAACAGGAUUAGAUACCCUGGUAGUCCUGGCUGUAAACGAUGGAUACCAGAUCUUGCGUGACAGCGCUUGGUCGUAGCUAACGCGUUAAGUAUCCCGCCUGGGGAGUACGGUCGCAAGGCUG
rnacentral:rRNA from 1 species